AAAACCCACUGGUUUUGAUAUUGAACAUUGCUGCCUUUCCUUUAGGAUGGCCUAUUCGUGCAAGGUGCUGUUACUCAAAGCACUGAGGGUAGAGAGAAAGACCUUUCCUCAGCCACACACAGUUUGCAUAACCACACUUACCUAUUAAAACAUGUAUUUUUUUUUACUUGUUAAAUUUGGUAUGAGAUUUACUUUUCUAGCGAGAGUGAGGUUGAGUGCGGUGAGAAGUGUCAUGUAAACAGGAGCUCUAACCACUAGACACGUAUGAUUUUUGUCCAAAGAUUUUGGCAUUUAUUCUAUCCCCAACCUGGUUCAGAAGCAAAGGUUUCAAAAAACAUAGGGGCCCAAGUCCCAUCUCCAGUAAUUCUGAUUUAAAUGAUAUAAAGGGGGUCCCAGGGUCUCAAAAAUCCCCCAGAGAAUUCUCAUAUGCAACCUGCAGUGAGAACGACUCACUCACAACACCUAUCCCCCCCAAAUCUCCUUGCCUAGGGGGAGGCUCCCAGCCAGACCAGUGGGUCUCAAAUGUUUAGAAACACCUUGGAGGUACUUGCUCGUGGUCCACAGCCUGGCCUCUCACUUAAGGACCCUGAUUCAGAAUGUCUAGAGCAGGGCCCAGGCAAGUGUUUUAUAAUCCAGCAGUCAGGAGUGGCUCACACAAGUGGGCCAGACUUUGGAAAGCUCCGAAUGAUAUCCCAGCCAGCCAGGCUCCUCACCCAUCAGCUCUAGUCAGGAAGUAUGGAAAUGUUUUGGGUGGUUACCUGGAAUCAAAUAGUACACUGUACCCACAAACAUCAGAACCUCAUAACAGAAGAAUGCAAUGUUAAACAUAACUAACCUGCUUGUCCUUGAAAGCUCUAUUCUUUUUUUUUUAUUUUUUUAAUGUUUAUUUUUGAAACAGAGAGACACAGAGCUCGAGCAGGGGAGGGGUAGAGAGAGAGGGAGACACAGAAUCCAAAGCAGGCUCUAGGCUCUGAGCUGUCAGCACAGCUGACGUGGGUCUCGAACCCACGAACUGUGAGAUCAUGACCUGAGCCGAAGUCAGACGCUUAACCGACUGAGCCAUCCAGGUGCCCUGAAAGCUCCAUUCUUGAACUGGCACUCACUCUGAUUUCUUUUCACGAGCCCUGAAACUGUACCCAAAACUGCCUGUGAAUUUGCCUGAAGGAAGGUUUUUCUUGAAAAUGGCAUCAAGCGCAGGGAGCACCCGUUGUGUGUCGAACUGAAAUGAUCGCUGGGUUGUGUGGAGAUCAGUCAGAUUCAGACCCUGCUGUCCACAAAAAGUAGAUUGGACUGGGUAGAAUAGACUCAUGUCCAGGUAGCUAGAAUGUAACAGUUAAUACGAUCAUUACAACAGAAAGAAAGCAAGAGGAGGAAAUGGUUCCUGGGCCUUGAGUGUUGCAAAGUAUCCCAGAGAAAACAAUAUCUGGAUAUGCAGAUUUCCCCUCUCCCUCAUCCCAGAGGGACAGGAGAAGAAAGGCACUCUAGGCCAGAGAGACAGGUGGCAUGGCCACCUUGGAGCCAUGGCCAUGCAUGACAACAGUACAGAGAGUGCAGAGCGGCAAAGAACACAAGAAAGGUAGUGUAAAGCCAGAUGCAAAUGGGCUUUGGAUGCUAUGCUAAGGAGUUUGGAAUUUUUCAUUAGGCGGUGAGAAGUCAUCAGAGAUAUUUAUACGAGGGUGUGACAUGAUUUCAGAAUAUGAUUCUAAUAACAAAGAGGUGAGUAGAUUGCAGGGGAGAGGAAAACCAGGGGCAGGAAAACCAAUUAGGAAGCAGUUGCAACUGUCCAGGAAAAUGAUGCUAUGCCACCCAAAUCAUCCUGUUCUUAAAAUAACGUGCUCAUCAUCUUGCGUCGUUUUAUUCCUUUUAUUUCUGGGGCUAGAAAAAUCACUUAGGCCUCCAUGACUCAGAAUCCCUCCCUAUUAAUAGAAGAUGACAAAAUACUCACCUUACCUCACAUAGGGAGGUCUGUGAGAUGCUUAUAAUUGUAGCCAGGAAGGAGGGGGCAAUGUUAUUCUAAAUGCCAAUGGUUUAAUUCCACUCCAGGAGAGAAACUGCCUUUUGCCUCUUACUUUUAUUAUAAAAAUCCCAGCCCCACAGAAAAGCAGAAAGCCCAGGGAAAGCAUCAGAAGUGCACCCUGGAGAGAAAAGCCACUGCAGAAGUUUCCGGUGCUUACCAUGCUUGCAACAUGCUCGGUUGCAAAACUGAGAUUUUGUAAAGAAAGCCUGUCGCUCCAUCGUUUCCCAUUACAAGCAAAAGUGUAAGGAGUGUUCCUUCUAUCGUUCCUGUUGUGGCAGCAGGGGUGGGGAGCAUCGGACACUCGCCGAAGGAGUUAACAUGCGGUCAUUUAAGUGAAGAGCUGGGCGUGAGGCUUUCCGGUUGUGCUCGCUUUCUUGGGUCUUGGAGUCUGUCCUCUUAGCAAUGGGCACCUGGUCAUGCCUUUUCCAUCUGCUACCUGGUCCUUUCCUGCAAUGAGAUCUCCAAAUCACUGCCCCAGACGACAUCCGAACUCUCUCAUCUCUUUGGAAAAGUGUCACAGAAAGGACUGAAAAUGCUGUAAAUUUUGCCCAAAUCACUUUGUCUUCUACCUCUUAAACAAAUCUAUGCUCGAUAUACCUGCUAAGGCGGUGCAAGAUAUUCUGAGGGAUAAAAAGAUAAGUCACAUGGGGGACGCUCUCCCCUCCCAAAGCUAAAGGUGGGAUUGUGACAUAAGAGAGAAUGUCUCGAACGUAGUAUUCAGCAUGCUCUUAGGACAAUUCAAAGUUCUAGAUCCAAAGGGACGGUCAUGUUGGAUGACCGACGUGUUCGUUCUUCCAUCCACAGCACUUGUCUUUAUAUAGAUCAACUACAUGGUUACAGACUGAUAUAGUAAGGGGGCAUGUCAGGACCACCUAAAAAGAAGAUGAUAUAUGGUGCUUUCUGAGGUGCAUUCUCCUAAGUAAUAAAUGGUAAACUGGAGAACAUUUAUUUGAAACGAAAUACAGGUGAUGAAGCUGUAACAAAUACGAUAACCUAAUCAUCCAACAGAAAUCGCCUUAGAGCAUAAAGCGCCGGCAAGACCGUGUGGCCGUGGAAAGAUGCGUCAGGCUCUCAGCUGCAACCUAAGACCCAGGAAGACAUGCACAUCUGUGACUCAAAGCAAGUCAUGGUUUAUGAGCCACUGAAAGGAACAGAGGUGGAACAAGGCAGCUGAUGAAUUUUCUUUACGAUCCGUUUGUGCCAAGAACAUGAGAAAGAGAAGAGUUUCCUGCUCACAGAAGGCCAGUGUGCUGCCCUACAAGUUUGUCCUGGUCCCACUUUUGAUUCCAAACCAGGAGCCUGCAGAAGGAUGAGGGUGCGACAGUCAAGGAAACGAUUUGUGUCAGAGCAUCUACACUAACGCCCAAUCUACCCAUCACCUGUCAACGCAAGGCCAGAUAAAAAGUGCAUACGUACUGCUACUCGAGAGCCAUGAAAAAACUGAAAUACACAAUUACAUAAAUUACAUCUAUCACAUUUGUUUCUCCGAUUUCUUCGCUCUGACUGGUGGCUGACAUUUACUUUAAAAAUGUUCAAUCAAGGGGCCCCUGGGUGGCUCAGUCUGUUGGGCGGCUGACUUUGGCUGAGGUCAUGAUCUCACAGCUCAUGAGUUCGAGCCCCGCGUCAGGCUCUGUGCUGACAGCUCAGUGCCCAGAACCUGCUUCAGAUACUGUGUCUCCCUCUCUCUCUACCCCUCCCACGCUCAUGCUCUCUCUCUCUC